rnacentral:rRNA from 1 species
AACGAACGCUGGCGGCAGGCUUAACACAUGCAAGUCGAGCGCCCCGCAAGGGGAGCGGCAGACGGGUGAGUAACGCGUGGGAACAUACCCUUUCCUGCGGAAUAGCUCCGGGAAACUGGAAUUAAUACCGCAUACGCCCUACGGGGGAAAGAUUUAUCGGGGAAGGAUUGGCCCGCGUUGGAUUAGCUAGUUGGUGGGGUAAAGGCCUACCAAGGCGACGAUCCAUAGCUGGUCUGAGAGGAUGAUCAGCCACAUUGGGACUGAGACACGGCCCAAACUCCUACGGGAGGCAGCAGUGGGGAAUAUUGGACAAUGGGCGCAAGCCUGAUCCAGCCAUGCCGCGUGAGUGAUGAAGGCCUUAGGGUUGUAAAGCUCUUUCACCGGAGAAGAUAAUGACGGUAUCCGGAGAAGAAGCCCCGGCUAACUUCGUGCCAGCCGCCGCGGUAA